rnacentral:misc_RNA from 1 species
AAAGUCGUAACAAGGUUUCCGUAGGUGAACCUGCGGAAGGAUCAUUAAAAGUAAAUAUGUAUUCUCCCGAAUAUACAUUUCAAACCCCAUCUGCGUACGUUACCCGUUGCUUCCGCGAGGCAGUGAUCUCGGUCACCUCCAGAAGAUGGCGAAGGCCAUCCGACGGGGAGCACUCGCGAAAGGUAUACAUUAAACCCUUGCAAUUCCAUGCCAUCUGUCUGAACCUGUUUAUAACAAAUGUUAAAACUUUCAACAACGGAUCUCUUGGUUCUC